AGUGUAAUAAGGCUUUCAUGGGUGGUGGCUCACUCCCUUUUAUAGAAAGGGGGUGAUGCCUAUGACAGUUUUCGAGUCAUUAAUUGUGAUGAUUGCGUUUGCAACGCUUGUUGUUGCAAUUCUGUCAGAAAUGAAGUAACCACCCUGUCAGCCUAGCCAGCAUUUAGGGUGGAUUACUUCUCCUCAAUGUGAGCUGCCCCCUUGAAGGGCUAUUGCACACAAGGCCGAUUGGUGUGAAAGCACUAAUCGG
rnacentral:sRNA from 1 species